rnacentral:rRNA from 1 species
AGAGUUUGAUCAUGGCUCAGGAUGAACGCUAGCGGGAGGCCUAACACAUGCAAGUCGAACGGGAUCCAUGAGCAAUCGUGGUGAGAGUGGCGCACGGGUGAGUAACGCGUAUGCAACCUACCUUUAACAGAGGGAUAGCCCAUAGAAAUGUGGAUUAAUACCUCAUAGUUCUGAGAUUUCGCAUGGGAUUUCAGAUAAAGCUCCGGCGGUUAAAGAUGGGCAUGCGUGACAUUAGCUAGUUGGUAAGGUAACGGCUUACCAAGGCAACGAUGUCUAGGGGUUCUGAGAGGAUGAUCCCCCACACUGGUACUGAGACACGGACCAGACUCCUACGGGAGGCAGCAGUGAGGAAUAUUGGUCAAUGGGCGCAAGCCUGAACCAGCCAUCCCGCGUGAAGGAUGAAGGUCCUAUGGAUUGUAAACUUCUUUUAUACACCAAGAAAAACUCCCACGAGUGGGAGCCCGACGGUAGUGUAUGAAUAAGCAUCGGCUAACUCCGUGCCAGCAGCCGCGGUAAUACGGAGGAUGCAAGCGUUAUCCGGAUUCAUUGGGUUUAAAGGGUGCGUAGGCGGCUCUUUAAGUCAGUGGUGAAAUCCUGCCGCUUAACGGUAGAAUUGCCAUUGAUACUGAAGAGCUUGAGUACAGUUGAGGUAGGCGGAAUGUGUAGUGUAGCGGUGAAAUGCUUAGAUAUUACACAGAACACCGAUUGCGAAAGGCAGCUUACUAAACUGUUACUGACGCUGAUGCACGAAAGCGUGGGGAGCGAACAGGAUUAGAUACCCUGGUAGUCCACGCCGUAAACGAUGCUCACUCGCUGUAUGCGAUACACAGUAUGCGGCCAAGCGAAAGCAUUAAGUGAGCCACCUGGGGAGUACGAUCGCAAGGUUGAAACUCACUGGAAUUGACGG